rnacentral:lncRNA from 1 species
CUUCAGUUUUACUUCUCCUUUGCCAUCCUUUAGUUCUCCUUCCAUCCCUGGAAGUUGGAGGUGCAGGAAUGCCAGGAAUGCCAGGAGUGCAGGAUCCUGGAUCCUGUCUGGAGGGACAGUCUGAGCCCAGGAGAGCCUGCUCAGGCAGCAGGUAAAUCUGGAGUCUGCCAGAUCCCUCCCAGCUACAGAACUGCACCAUAAACCCCCGUGUGUACAGAGCAUCUUCAUUGUCUUCACUUCUCCUUAUCUGGUCAGAACCAUCUCCUGCCCUCCAUGGCUACAAAAACCACAGCUGGAACCUCUGUUUGACCCAAAUUUUGUACCCAAACCAGCUGCUGAGGAUAACUGUGACACAGCACAUUCUUCCUGCUUUGGGGAAAAUGAAAUCAUGUCAUGGAUCCACCCUGCUGAAGGAACAACACCCUCCACCAGCAAAUUUAUAAAUUCUCCUUUUAUACUUAGAGAGCAAGACAGAAAUGCAGCCCUGCUCUUCGUUUAUUCCAAAAGAAAUCUGAGCUUUGGAGUAAUCCUUUAAAAACCAAGAAACCUUUCCCAUGAGACAAGCCAAGCCUCCAUCUG